rnacentral:rRNA from 1 species
GACGAACGCUGGCGGCGUGCUUAACACAUGCAAGUCGAACGGAAAGGCCCUGCUUGCAGGGUACUCGAGUGGCGAACGGGUGAGUAACACGUGGGUGAUCUGCCCUGCACUUCGGGAUAAGCUUGGGAAACUGGGGCUAAUACCGGGUAGGAACCAUCUUUAGUGUGGGGGUUGGGAAGUUUUUUCGGUGUAGGAUGAGCUCGCGGCCUAUCAGCUUGUUGGUGGGGUAAUGGCCUACCAAGGCGGCGACGGGUAGCCGGCCUGAGAGGGUGUACGGCCACAUUGGGACUGAGAUACGGCCCAGACUCCUACGGGAGGCAGCAGUGGGGAAUAUUGCACAAUGGGCGCAAGCCUGAUGCAGCGACGCCGCGUGGGGGAUGAAGGCCUUCGGGUUGUAAACUCCUUUCGCUAGGGACGAAGCUUUGUUGUGACGGUACCUAGAUAAGAAGCACCGGCUAACUACGUG